rnacentral:tRNA from 1 species
CAUUAGGUGACUGAAAGUUAAGUAAUGGUCUCUUAAACCAGUUUAUAGUAAUUUACAACUACUUCUAAUGA